rnacentral:rRNA from 1 species
AUUGAACGCUGGCGGCAGGCCUAACACAUGCAAGUCGAGCGGAUGAGAGGAGCUUGCUUCUCGAUUCAGCGGCGGACGGGUGAGUAAUGCCUAGGCAUCUGCCUGGUAGUGGGGGACAACGUUUCGAAAGGAACGCUAAUACCGCAUACGUCCUACGUGAGAAAGCAGGGGACCUUCGGGCCUUGCGAUAUCAGAUGUGCCUAGGUCGGAUUAGCUAGUUGGUGAGGUAAUGGCUCACCAAGGCGACGAUCCGUAACUGGUCUGAGAGGAUGAUCAGUCACACUGGAACUGAGACACGGUCCAGACUCCUACGGGAGGCAGCAGUGUGGAAUAUUGGACAAUGGGCGAAAGCCUGAUCCAGCCAUGCCGCGCGUGUGAAGAAGGUCUUCGGAUUGUAAAGCACUUUAAGUUGGGAGGAAGGGUUGUAGAUUAAUACUCUGCAAUUUUGACGUUACCGACAGAAUAAGCACCGGCUAACUCUGUGCCAGCAGCCGCCGUAAUAC